AGAGUUUGAUCCUGGCUCAGGACGAACGCUGGCGGCGCGCCUAACACAUGCAAGUCGAACGAGCGAGAGAGAGCUUGCUUUCUCGAGCGAGUGGCGAACGGGUGAGUAACGCGUGAGGAACCUGCCUCAAAGAGGGGGACAACAGUUGGAAACGACUGCUAAUACCGCAUAAGCGCACAGCAUCGCAUGAUGCAGUGUGAAAAACUCCGGUGGUAUAAGAUGGACCCGCGUUGGAUUAGCUAGUUGGUGAGGUAACGGCCCACCAAGGCGACGAUCAGUAGCCGACCUGAGAGGGUGACCGGCCACAUUGGGACUGAGACACGGCCCAGACUCCUACGGGAGGCAGCAGUGGGGAAUAUUGCACAAUGGAGGAAACUCUGAUGCAGCGACGCCGCGUGAAGGAUGAAGUAUUUCGGUAUGUAAACUUCUAUCAGCAGGGAAGAAAAUGACGGUACCUGACUAAGAAGCCCCGGCUAACUACGUGCCAGCAGCCGCGGUAAUACGUAGGGGGCAAGCGUUAUCCGGAUUUACUGGGUGUAAAGGGAGCGUAGACGGCACGGCAAGCCAGAUGUGAAAGCCCGGGGCUCAACCCCGGGACUGCAUUUGGAACUGCUGAGCUAGAGUGUCGGAGAGGCAAGUGGAAUUCCUAGUGUAGCGGUGAAAUGCGUAGAUAUUAGGAGGAACACCAGUGGCGAAGGCAGCAUACCAACUCGCGACUGACGCUGAGGCUCGAAAGCGUGGGUAUCGAACAGGAUUAGAUACCCUGGUAGUCCACGCAGUAAACGAUGAAUACUAACUGUUCGGAGGGCGACCUCUGAGUGGUAAAGCGAAAGCGUUAAGUAUUCCACCUGGGGAGUACGCCGGCAACGGUGAAACUCAAAGGAAUUGACGGGGGCCCGCACAAGCGGAGGAACAUGUGGUUUAAUUCGAUGAUACGCGAGGAACCUUACCCGGGCUCAAACGUCGGGCGAAUCAUCCUGAAAGGGGUGAGCCAGCAAUGGCGGCCGACGAGGUGCUGCAUGGUUGUCGUCAGCUCGUGCCGUGAGGUGUCGGCUUAAGUGCCAUAACGAGCGCAACCCCCGCGUCCAGUUGCCAGCGAUUUAAGUCGGGCACUCUGGACGGACUGCCGGCGCAAGCCGCGAGGAAGGCGGGGAUGACGUCAAAUCAGCACGGCCCUUACGUCCGGGGCGACACACGUGUUACAAUGGCGUGGAACAGAGGGAAGCCACCUGGCGACAGGGAGCGGAACCCGAAAACACGUCUCAGUUCGGAUUGGAGUCUGCAACUCGACUCCAUGAAGCUGGAUUCGCUAGUAAUCGCGCAUCAGCCAUGGCGCGGUGAAUACGUUCCCGGGCCUUGUACACACCGCCCGUCA
rnacentral:rRNA from 1 species